UACGAAGGGUGCGAGCGUUGUUCGGAAUUACUGGGCGUAAAGGGUUUGUAGGCUGAAAUGUAAGUCAAGUGUGAAAUCCCCGAGCUAAACUUGGGACGUGCAUUUGAAACUGUGUUUCUUGAGUAUCGUAGAGGGUGGUGGAAUUGUAGGUGUAGGAGUGACAUCCGUAGAGAUCUGCAGGAACAUCAGAGGCGAAGGCGACCACCUGGCCGAUGGCUGACGCUGAGGAACGAAAGCGUGGGGAGCAAACAGG
rnacentral:rRNA from 1 species